UACGUAGGGUGCAAGCGUUGUCCGGAAUUAUUGGGCGUAAAGAGCUCGUAGGCGGUCUGUCGCGUCGGCUGUGAAAACCCGGGGCUCAACCCCGGGCCUGCAGUCGAUACGGGCAGACUAGAGUGCGGUAGGGGAGACUGGAAUUCCUGGUGUAGCGGUGAAAUGCGCAGAUAUCAGGAGGAACACCGGUGGCGAAGGCGGGGCUCUGGGCCGUAACUGACGCUGAGGAGCGAAAGCGUGGGGAGCGAACAGG
rnacentral:rRNA from 1 species